GACGAACGCUGGCGGCGUGCUUAACACAUGCAAGUCGAACGGAAAGGCCUCUGCUUGCAGGGGUGCUCGAGUGGCGAACGGGUGAGUAACACGUGGGUGAUCUGCCUUGUACUCUGGGAUAAGCUUGGGAAACUGGGUCUAAUACCGGAUAGGAACUGCCUUUAGUGUGGUGGUUGGAAAGUUUUUUCGGUGCAAGAUGAGCUCGCGGCCUAUCAGCUUGUUGGUGGGGUAAUGGCCUACCAAGGCGUCGACGGGUAGCCGGCCUGAGAGGGUGUACGGCCACAUUGGGACUGAGAUACGGCCCAGACUCCUACGGGAGGCAGCAGUGGGGAAUAUUGCACAAUGGGCGGAGGCCUGAUGCAGCGACGCCGCGUGGGGGAUGACGGCCUUCGGGUUGUAAACUCCUUUCGACAGGGACGAAGCGCAAGUGACGGUACCUGUAUAAGAAGCACCGGCUAACUACGUGCCAGCAGCCGCGGUAAUACGUAGGGUGCGAGCGUUGUCCGGAAUUACUGGGCGUAAAGAGCUCGUAGGUGGUUUGUCGCGUUGUCUGUGAAAUUCCGGGGCUUAACUCCGGGCGUGCAGGCGAUACGGGCAUAACUUGAGUGCUGUAGGGGAGACUGGAAUUCCUGGUGUAGCGGUGAAAUGCGCAGAUAUCAGGAGGAACACCGAUGGCGAAGGCAGGUCUCUGGGCAGUUACUGACGCUGAGGAGCGAAAGCAUGGGUAGCGAACAGGAUUAGAUACCCUGGUAGUCCAUGCCGUAAACGGUGGGCGCUAGGUGUAGGGGGCUUCCACGUCUUCUGUGCCGUAGCUAACGCAUUAAGCGCCCCGCCUGGGGAGUACGGCCGCAAGGCUAAAACUCAAAGGAAUUGACGGGGGCCCGCACAAGCGGCGGAGCAUGUGGAUUAAUUCGAUGCAACGCGAAGAACCUUACCUGGGCUUGACAUACACCAGAUCGCUGCAGAGAUGUAGUUUCCCUUGUGGUUGGUGUACAGGUGGUGCAUGGUUGUCGUCAGCUCGUGUCGUGAGAUGUUGGGUUAAGUCCCGCAACGAGCGCAACCCUUGUCUUAUGUUGCCAGCAUUUUAGUUGGGGACUCAUGAGAGACUGCCGGGGUUAACUCGGAGGAAGGUGGGGAUGACGUCAAAUCAUCAUGCCCCUUAUGUCCAGGGCUUCACACAUGCUACAAUGGUCGGUACAACGCGCAGUGACACUGUGAGGUGGAGCGAAUCGCUGAAGGCCGGUCUUAGUUCGGAUUGGGGUCUGCAACUCGACCCCAUGAAGUCGGAGUCGCUAGUAAUCGUAGAUCAGCAAUGCUGCGGUGAAUACGUUCCCGGGCCU
rnacentral:rRNA from 1 species